AUACGUAGGGGGCAAGCGUUAUCCGGAUUUACUGGGUGUAAAGGGAGCGUAGACGGCGAAGCAAGUCUGAAGUGAAAACCCAGGGCUCAACCCUGGGACUGCUUUGGAAACUGUUUUGCUAGAGUGUCGGAGAGGUAAGUGGAAUUCCUAGUGUAGCGGUGAAAUGCGUAGAUAUUGGGAGGAACACCAGUGGCGAAGGCGGCUUACUGGACGAUAACUGACGUUGAGGCUCGAAAGCGUGGGGAGCAAACAGGAUUAGAUACCCUGGUAGGCCACGCCGUAAACGAUGAAUGCUAGGUGUUGGGGGGCAAAGCCCUUCGGUGCCGUCGCAAACGCAGUAAGCAUUCCACCUGGGGAGUACGUUCGCAAGAAUGAA
rnacentral:rRNA from 1 species